GGAGCGGGAGGGAGUGUAUUCUUGGAGGAGGUCGCAGAGGUAACUGGGGGCUAGGUUGUGGAGAGCUUUGUAGGUGAGGAGUAGGGUUUUGUAUUGGAUGCGUUAGUGUACUGGGAGCCAGUGAAGUUGGAUGAGGACAGGGGUGAUGUGGUCAGAUGAUUUGGUGCGUGUGAUGAUCCGGGCGGCUGAGUUCUGAAUGAUCUGCAGUCUGUUGAUGAGUUUGGUGGGGAGUCCGGUGAGGAGGGCGUUGCAGUAUGGAGCUGGGGUGUGUUGUGAUUUAGUGAGGGUGGAUUUGGAUCCGAUGAGCAGGGCCUCGGUCUUGUUUCCAUUGAGUUUCAGGAAGUUCCUGCUCAACCAGCUCCGGAUCUCUUCCAGGCACGUGAUGAGGGAGGUGGGGGGGAUGGCAGCGGUGGGUUUGGUGGAGAUGUAGACCUGUGUGUCGUCAGCGUAGCAGUGAAAAUGGACCCCAUGGUGACGGAGGAGUGUGCCCAGCGGGAGGAGGUAAGUGGUGAACAGGAGUGGACCCAAGACUGACCCCUGGGGGACACCCAGUGAGACACCUGAACACCCAGACUUGUGGUUGCUUAGUUGAACAAAUUGUUGACGGCCGGUGAGGUAGGAUGUAAACCAGGAGAGUGCAGCACCAGUGAUCCCAAUGCCAGCCAGGCGGUCCAGGAGCAGAGGGUGGGAGAUGGUGUCGAAUGCUGCGCUGAGAUCAAGGAGGAGGAGAAUGGUGAGUAAUCCAGAGUCGGCUGCAAGGAGGAGGUCGUUGGUGAUAUUGACUAGGGCUGUUUCAGUGCUGUGUUUUGGACGGAAGCCAGAUUGGAACGGUUUGUGGAGAUUGUUAGUGUCGAGGUGGGACUGUAGUUGUGCGGCAACCACCCUUUCAAGUGUUUUGGAGAUGAAAGGGAGAUUGGAGAUGGGCCGGUAAUGGUUAAGGUCAGUUGGGUCAGCACCAGGUUUUUUCAGGAUGGGAGUGAUGGCAGCCAGCUUGAGAGUGGGUGGUACAGUACCAGUAGUGAGGGAGGAGUUAAUUAUGUUGGUGAUCAUGGGGGAGAUGGACGGAAGACAUGCUUUGACAAGGGAGGUGGGAAGAGGAUCGAGCUGACAGGUGGUGGUUUUGGCCUUGCGGAUGAGUUCUGAAACGGUCUGUUCUGUUACUGGGGUGAAGUCAGAGAGGGAGCUGACGAGAGGUUGGCCAGAGGUGAUCAUCCAGGGUGGGUCAUCAGAGGGGGUGCGAGAUGUGGCCAGUUGUUGGUGAAUGGUGUUGAUUUUAGAGCUGAAGAAGUCCAGGAACGCAGUGCAUUGGGUGGUGGAAAUGUCUGGAGGGAGGGAUUUAGGAGGCUGAAGUAAGUGGCUGACUGUUGAGGAGAGGACUCUGCUGUUGCCUGUACCAGUGUUGAUGAGGUUGGAGUAGUAUGAGGUUUUGGCAGUGGUGAGGGCAUUCUUGUAGUGAUGGAGGUGGUCCGAAUACAUUUGGCGGUGUACAGUGAGUUGAGUCUUAUUGUAGAGUCGCUCCAGUCGACGACCAGUGGCUUUGAGCUGGCGCAGAUGAGGAGUGAACCAGGGAGCAGUGUGGGUGAAUGAGACUGAGCGGGUUUUCAGGGGGGCCAGGGUGGUGAGGGAAGAGGAGAGGCAGUUAUUGUAGUGAGUCACCAGGUCAGUCAGGGAGGAAGCUGGGGGAGGGUUGGGGUAGGAGCUGAUCAUGGUGGAGAGGUCUGUGGUGUUGAUAAGUUUGAUGUUUCUGAAGGAGAUGGUCCGUUGUUCCUUGGUUUUGUGUAGUUGGGUAUGAAUGUCAAAAAGUACAGCUUUGUGGUCGGAGAUGGGGAAAUCAAUGACAUCAAGGUUAGUGGGAGUGAUGUCAGUGCAGCAGAUUAAAUCCAGAAUGUGACCUUUGUUAUGGGUUGGGAGGGUGACAUGUUGUGUGAUGCCAAGACAGUCCAGAAGUGAUGUGAAGUCAUUAGCAAAAGUACAGGAUGGGUUGUCAAUGUGGAUGUUGAAAUCACCAAGGAGGAUAACAGUGGGGGACAUUGCACAUACAGAUGUAAGUAGUGAUGAGAAUUCAUUGAGGAAAACGGCAGAGGGUUUUGGUGGUCUGUAAAUGGUGACAAUGAUAGUGGGUUUGGGGCCUGAGAGUUUUACAGCUAGACAUUCAAAGGAGGAGUGAAGGGGGACUGUGACAGUGGUGACUUUGAUGUUAUCACGAUGGAGGAGAGCGAGGC